rnacentral:misc_RNA from 1 species
GAAAGUAUGGUUAUUAAUUUACUUGAAGGAUUACCGACAACGGUAGAAUUUAGCACAAGCCAACUACAUCAAUAAUUGAUUCCUCUCUCUCCUAGUGUAAAAAGGAUGGGCAUGCCUUAAAUUCCACAAAUUCAUUCUUCAGUGCACUUUUCAGGUGAAAUAGAGGUAUUUGUAGAGACUAAAGAAGAGAAUGGAAAGACAGAAAAUCAUGCAGAGAUUGGGACCAAAUCAAUGACAAAGAUUGGGACCAAAUCAAUGACAGCCAAGACAAAUCAGGAUCCUCAGAGAUUAGUUUCCAUAUAGACACGUUCUCAAAAGGAAGCCAAUAAUUCUUCCUAAUGGCAUAAUUUGCUCCUUACCAUCUGUACUCAACUGUAUAUAUAUGAAUACUGAUGUACUCUUUAAAAUACAUAAUAAGAUGACACACAGAACUCUACCGUGGAUGUCGGCUUGAAUUGCUGAAUCACAUAAAAUCCUGGGUGUUAUUCUUCCCUUUCUCUUCUUCUAUAUGGUAUCAGAGCGAGCAGCUCUAACGAGCGUUAAUCGAUCCAUAUUCCUCCAGUUAUCAUUGCUGACAGCUCGUCCACUUGACAUGACUCAAACAUCAAAAAAUCAACAGAUAAUUCCACAGCAGGUGGUACUCCUCCAUUUGUCCUUAGCCAUGGCUCGGUAAUACAACCCAGUCACUUAGUUUCCUUCAAUCUCUCAUCUCAGCUUCCAUUAAAGCUCACUGGUAGUAUGAAUUAUGCAACAUGGUCUGUACAAGUAAUCACCUUGUUAUUGGGAUAUGAACUUCUGUCGUAUAUUGAAGAAUCAGACUUUCGUCCAUCAAAGCUUCUUCCUGAUCAGACGAUCAAUGCAGACUAUAAACUCUGGGUUCGUCAGAAUGGCUUGGUCCGCAAUGCCAUUAUGGCCUCAGUUGAUUAAACUAUUGGUCCUCUUAUUGCCCAUUGCAGGACAGCACAACAGUCUUGGGAAGUUAUGCAUACUACUUAUGCAAACAAGUCUCAAGCCUUAUUUUCAACUUGUGAGACACACUGUCUAAUCUUCGACGAGGAGAUAAAUCUACUACAAAU